GGUGGCUGCGGCCGAGCAGCGGGUCAGCAGACGAGGUGCACUUCAGUCGAUAUUCGUUCGCAUCGCCUUCCGAGGAUACACGUGCGAACCGAACACAGUCCAUUCACGAUUUGAACGCGCACUCAUUAAAAUGGAAUUGUCCAAAGACGAUAUUGAACGUGUGAACUUCAUCUGGGGUAUCUACGACAGUACCAAUGAAGGCGUCGACGCUUUCUACUUGGGAGAUCUGCUCCGCGCUUUGGAAAUGAACCCAACAUUGGCCACCAUCGAGAAGAUGGGUGGUACCAAAAAGAAGGGCGAAAAGAAAUUGAUGGUGGACGAGUUCUACCCAAUUUUCGCUCAAGUGAUUAAGGACAAAGACCAAGGAGUGUACGAAGAUUUCAUUGAGUGCCUGAAACUGUACGACAAAGCCGAAGACGGUCACAUGAUCGGUGGAGAACUGACACACAUCCUCCUCUCCUUGGGAGAGAAAUUGUCCGACGCGGAACUCGACGAAGUUGUCAAGGACUGCAUGGACCCCGAGGAUGAGGACGGUAUGAUCCCCUAUGUCCCGUUCGUAAAAAAAGUGAUGGUUCGCCUGAGCGACAUGAAAUAAAUUCCAUUUUAAGCGUUUAACGUUAAAAAAAAAAAAAAACCAUUAAAAAAUUAAAACUACCCGGACCAUUAUCCCGUUUCUGGCCAAAGUUUGCGGAAAGCCCGUACCGGCCGACGACAACCCGUUCAACAAGUAAAACCACACGCGCAUCGCUCCAACAAAAGCAAAUACACGUUAUUAUUUAUUUAUUAUUAUUAAUAUAAUUAUUAUUAUUAUUAUUA